CACGUAGGGCGCGAGCGUUGUCCGGAAUUAUUGGGCGUAAAGAGCUCGUAGGCGGCCUGUUGCGUCCGCUGUGAAAGCCCCGGGGCUUAACCCCGGGUCUGCAGUGGAUACGGGCAGGCUAGAGGUAGGUAGGGGAGAAUGGAAUUCCCGGUGUAGCGGUGAAAUGCGCAGAUAUCAGGAGGAACACCGGUGGCGAAGGCGGUUCUCUGGGCCUUACCUGACGCUGAGGAGCGAAAGCGUGGGGAGCGAACAGG
rnacentral:rRNA from 1 species